rnacentral:rRNA from 1 species
AACGAACGCUGGCGGCAGGCUUAACACAUGCAAGUCGAACGCCCCGCAAGGGGAGUGGCAGACGGGUGAGUAACGCGUGGGAAUCUACCUAGUUCUACGGAACAACAGAGGGAAACUUCUGCUAAUACCGUAUACGCCCUAAGGGGGAAAGAUUUAUCGGAAUUAGAUGAGCCCGCGUAAGAUUAGCUAGUUGGUGGGGUAAUGGCCUACAAAGGCGACGAUCUUUAGCUGGUCUGAGAGGAUGAUCAGCCACACUGGGACUGAGACACGGCCCAGACUCCUACGGGAGGCAGCAGUGGGGAAUAUUGGACAAUGGGCGCAAGCCUGAUCCAGCCAUGCCGCGUGAGUGAUGAAGGCCUUAGGGUUGUAAAGCUCUUUCAGUGGGGACGAUAAUGACGGUACCCACAGAAGAAGCCCCGGCUAACUUCGUGCCAGCAGCCGCCGUAAGAC